rnacentral:rRNA from 1 species
CCUACGGGUGGCAGCAGUGGGGAAUAUUGGACAAUGGGGGGAACCCUGAUCCAGCGACGCCGCGGGAGUGAAGAAGUAUUUCGGGUUGUAAACUUCUUUUAAGGGGGAAGAGCAGAAGACGGUACCCCUUGAAUAAGCCACGGCUAACUACGUGCCAGCAGCCGCGGUAAUACGGAGGUGGCAAGCGUUGUCCGGAUUUACUGGGUGUAAAGGGCGUGCAGCCGGAGAGACAAGUCAGAUGUGAAAUCCACGGGCUCAACCCGUGAACUGCAUUUGAAACUGUUUCCCUUGAGUGUCGGAGAGGUAAUCGGAAUUCCUUGUGUAGCGGUGAAAUGCGUAGAUAUAAGGAAGAACACCAGUGGCGAAGGCGGAUUACUGGACGAUAACUGACGGUGAGGCGCGAAAGCGUGGGGAGCAAACAGGAUUAGAUACCCGGGUAGUC